rnacentral:rRNA from 1 species
CCUACGGGAGGCAGCAGUGAGGAAUAUUGGUCAAUGGACGAGAGCCUGAACCAGCCAAGUCGCGUGAAGGAUGAAGGAUCUAUGGUUUGUAAACUUCUUUUAUAUGGGAAUAAAGUGAGGAACGUGUUCCUUUUUGUAUGUACCAUAUGAAUAAGCAUCGGCUAACUCCGUGCCAGCAGCCGCGAUAAUACGGAGGAUGCGAGCGUUAUCCGGAUUUAUUGGGUUUAAAGGGUGCGUAGGUGGUUAAUUAAGUCAGCGGUGAAAGUUUGUGGCUCAACCAUAAAAUUGCCGUUGAAACUGGUCGACUUGAGUAUAUUUGAGGUAGGCGGAAUGCGUGGUGUAGCGGUGAAAUGCAUAGAUAUCACGAAGAACUCCGAUUGCGAAGGCAGCUCACUGGACUGCAACUGACACUGAGGCUCGAAAGUGUGGGUAUCAAACAGGAUUAGAUACCCGAGUAGUC